ensembl:lncRNA novel transcript
GAAAAAGCCCGCGGCGUCUUCUCUGUCACCCGCGCUCGGCUCCCUGCUCGGUCGGGCUGGAACCUGUACUGGCAGCCGGAGGUGUAGGUAGGAACCGGAAUACCUCGGAAGCCGGGAAAUGACGGAGUUUCAUUCUUGUUGCCCAGGCUGGAGUGCAAUGGCGCGAUCUCAGCUCACCACAACCUCUGCCUCCCACAUUCAAGCGAUUCUCCUGCCUCAGCCUCCCGAGUAGCUGGGAUUACAGUGUGGUGUGUUGAAUAUUAUAGUUUCAAAAUCCUUCAUGUGUGUUAGGACUCAAUGAUCUUUGAGGAUGUGGCUGUGAACUUUACCCAGGAGGAGUGGGCUUUGCUGGAUCCGUCCCAGAAGAAACUCUACAGAGAUGUGAUGUGGGAAAUCAUCAGGAACCUGAUGUCUGUAGGAAUAAAAUGGGAAGACCGGAACAUUGAAGAUCAGUACAAAAAUUCCAGGAGAAAUCCAAGAAAUCAUAUGGCAGAGAGACUCUGUGAAUGUAAAGAUGGUCAAUGUGGAGAAACUUUCAGCCUGAUUCCAGAUGGUAUAAUGAACAAGAACACUCUUCCUGGGGUAAAACCAUGUGAAAGCAGUGUGUGUGGAGAAGGCAACGUGGAUCAUUCAUCUCUGAAUUGCUACAUCAGAGCUGACACUGGACACAAACCGUAUGAGUGUCAGGAACAUGGAGAGAAGCCACAUAAAUGUAAGCAGUGUGUAAAAACCUUCAGCUGCCUCCACUCCUUCCAAACACAUGAAAAGCCUCACACAGGAGAGAAACCCUAUGAUUGUAAGGAAUGGGAAAAAACCUUCGAUUCUCCCCAAACCGUUCGAAGAUACAGGGUAGUGCACAGUGGAGAUGGACCUUAUAAAUGUUGAAGAAUUUGUGACCGUGGAUAAGUUCGUUUCCUGUUAUGUGAACUUGGCAGAUUAAUGCUAAAUCCUGUGGGACAGCAUUUAGCAACACCUAAAAAACAUGAUAAAGAAAUACCUGAGACUGGGUAAUUUAUAAAGAAAAGAGGUUGAAUUGGCCCAUGAUUCUGCAGACUGCACAGGAAGCAUGGUACUGGAAGGAUGGCAUCUGCUCAGCUUCUAGGGAGGCCUCAGGAAACUGACAAUCAUGGUGGAAGGCAAAGGGGGAGCAGCAGUUCACACGGCCAGAGAAGGAGCAAGAGAGAGCAGGGCAAGGUGCCACAGACUUUUAAAUGACCGGUUCUCACAAGAACUUACCAUCUCAAGAACAGCACCACAGGGAUAGUGCUAAACCAUUCAUGAAGGACCACCAUCCAGUCACCUCCCACAAGGCCCCACCUUCAAUAUUGGGAAUUACAAUUCGACAUGAGAUUUGGGUGGAGAUUCAAAUCCAAACCAUGUCCUUUUGCUUUUUUCUGUUUUGUUUGUGGAGUAGAUUUUUCUCCAUCCCUUUACUUUGAGCCUAAGGGUGCCAUUGCAUGUGAGAUGGGUCUCUUGAAGACAGCAUACCAUUGGAUCUUGCUUUUUUAUCCAAGUCACCACUGUGCCUUUUAAUUGGGGCAUUUAGCCUGCUUACAUUCAAGGACUCAGUGACCUUUGAGGAUGUGGCUGUGAACUUCACCCAGGAGGAGUGGGCUUUGCUGGGUCCUUCCCAGAAGAAUCUCUACAGAGAUGUGAUGUGGGAAACCUUCAGGAACCUGAUGUCUGUAGAAGUCAUAUGGUAGAGAGAGUCUGAAGGUAAGGAAGAUGGUCAAUGUGAAGAGAUCUUCAGCCUUGUUCCAAAUGGUAUAGUGAAGACGACUUUUACUGGAGUCAAAUCAUGUGAAAGCAGUGUGUGUGAAGAAGGCAAUAUGGAUCAUUCAUCUCUUAAUUGCUGCAUCAGAGCUGACACUGGACACAAAUCAGAUGAGUGUCAGCAACAUAGAAGCCACAUAAGCAGUGUGUGAAAACCUUCAGCUAUUGCCACUCCUUUCAAACACAUGAAAGGCCUCACACUGGAAAGAAACUCCAUGUAAGAAAUGUGGAAAAACCUUCAUUUCUGUUCAAACCUUUUGAAGAUACAUGGUAAUGCACAGUGAAGAUGAACCUUAUAAAUGUAAGUUUUGUGGGAAGGCCUUUGAUAAUCUACAUUUAUAUCUUACACAUGAAAGAACUCACACUGGAGAGAAACCCUAUGAAUGUAAUAAAUGUGGGAAAGCCUUCAGUUGUUCCAGUUCCAUUCGAAAACAUGCAAGAAUUCACACUGGAGAGAAACCCUAUAUAUGUAAACAAUGUGGCAAAGCCUUUAGAUAUUCCAGUUCUAUUCGAAAUCAUGAAAACACUCACACUGGUGAAAAACCCUGUGAAUGUAAGCAAUGUGGGAAAGCCUUUAGUUAUUCCAGUUACUUUCGAAUACAUGAAAGAAUUCACACUGGAGAGCAGGUGUAUAAAUGUAAGGAAUGUGGGAAAACAUUCACUUAUCCCAGUGCCUUUCAUAAACAUAAAAGUACCCACACUUCACAGAAACUUUAUGAAUGUAAGGAAUGUGGGAAAGCAUUUGAUUGUUUUAGUUCCUUUCAUAGUCAUGAAGGGGUUCACACUGGAGAGAAACCCUAUGAAUGCAGAACGUGGAAAAGCCUUCAGUAGUUCUAAGUACUUAAAAAUACAUGGAAGAACUCACACUGGAGAGAAGUCCUAUGCAGUAAAGAAUGAGGGAAAGUAUUUUAUUGUCUCAGUCCCCUUCAAAGACAUGAAAGGACUCACAUCAGAGAAAAGUUGUAUGAAUGUAAAAAAUGUGAUAAAGCCUUCCAUUCGUCCAGUACUGUUAGAAACCAUGAAAGAAGUCACAUUUAAGAAAAACACAGUGAUGUUAGGAAUAUGGGGAACCUUUCCUUUCUCUUCCAGUCUUUGGAAGGCACAGGGUAUGACACACUGGUGACCUUAUAACUGUAAGGAGUGUGGAUAAGUAUUUAUUAGUCCUUGUGUGUUUUAGAUACAUGAAAGAAUUUACUCAAAAGGAAACUCUAUGAAUGUAAAGAAUGUGGUAAAACCUGUGUAGUUUCAGUUUCUCUUGAAUAAAGUCAUUUCCUGGUAUUCUCAGGGGAUUGGUUCCAGCACCCCUUGAGAAUAUAUAAUUUUGCUCAAGUGCUUUACAGAAAAGUGUAUUUGCCUAUAACUAGGCAAUCCUGUAUACUUUAAAUCAUCUCUAGAUUACUUAUAAUACCUAAUGCAUUGUAAAUGCUAUGAAGACAACUGUUUUAUUGUAUUUAGGGAAGUAUGACAAGAAAAAACAUCUGUACAUAUUCAGUACAGACACAACCACCAUACGGCUACCUACCUAGUACACAUCAUCUACAAUAUAACAUUUUCUUUUUAAAAAACAGUUAUGGAUUGGUUUCAUUAAAUGACCUGCAAGCGUGUGUUAA